rnacentral:rRNA from 1 species
UUAUGGCUCAGGAUGAACGCUAGCGACAGGCUUAACACAUGCAAGUCGAGGGGCAGCACGGGAGUAGCAAUACAACUGGUGGCGACCGGCGCACGGGUGAGUAACGCGUAUGCAACCUACCUAUCAGAGGGGAAUAACCCGGCGAAAGUCGGACUAAUACCGCAUAAAACAGGGGCACCGCAUGGUGAUAUUUGUUAAAGAGAUUCGCUGAUAGAUGGGCAUGCGUUCCAUUAGGUAGUUGGUGAGGUAACGGCUCACCAAGCCGACGAUGGAUAGGGGAACUGAGAGGUUGGUCCCCCACACUGGUACUGAGACACGGACCAGACUCCUACGGGAGGCAGCAGUGAGGAAUAUUGGUCAAUGGGCGGGAGCCUGAACCAGCCAAGUCGCGUGAAGGAAGAAGGAUCUAUGGUUCGUAAACUUCUUUUGCAGGGAAUAAAGUGCAGGACGUGUCCUGUUUUGUAUGUACCCUGAGAAUAAGGAUCGGCUAACUCCGUGCCAGCCGCCGC